AUCUCUGCAGAAUAAGUCUGUUCGGGCACACUUCUCAGGUAAACGUAGUGAGCAGAUGAGGUAAAGGAGCUGGGAACAGAGAGGUAUUGCACAGUAGCAUGUUGCAUCAGUAGUAGUCAGCGUUGCGGAGGAGGUGGGUGUCAGGGCUGGCGUGCUAGUGAAUGCUGGUUCUCUGUUUUUGCAAGUGAUGAUGAACCUGUUUGACGUAAUUCCAUUUGAAAAAGUUCCAGUUACUGUCGGCUGUGGUUAUGAGGUGCCUCAGGAUGUGCUUAUUUUCUUGUUUCCGCCCUUCCCUCGUGCAGCCUUGGAGAGAUGAAGUCCCCAUGGUGUGGAGUGGUGCAAAAAGAGGAAUGGUCCAACAAUUCGGGUUAAUAGGGGACAAGAGAACAAAGGGGUUUCAGAAUAACUGCUAACUGUUAUGACUAUUGCAUGGGGCACUAUGCAAGUCUCUGACAUCCAGCCAAGAUGGACAAAGGAGAAGGACAAGGGAAAAGCCUGGGAGGAAGACUAUGAGCCUUCAGUACGAGAGACCCGCAGAGGGACCACCAGAGACUGGUAACACAUGCGCCAGUGGGCGGGUUCGGAUUCCAGGAACUAGUUAUAAUAACCCUGCCUUUUCUAGAAGUAGUAAUGAAUAUGUAUUAGCCUAGGAGCAUAAAAACCAGCCGCCUGC